CAGUCGCCGCGGUAAUACGUAGGGUGCGAGCGUUAAUCGGAAUUACUGGGCGUAAAGCGUGCGCAAGCGGUUUUGUAAGACAGGCGUGAAAUCCCCGGGCUCAACCUGGGAAUGGCGCUUGUGACUGCAAAGCUAGAGUGCGGCAGAGGGGGAUGGAAUUCCGCGUGUAGCAGUGAAAUGCGUAGAUAUGCGGAGGAACACCGAUGGCGAAGGCAAUCCCCUGGGCCUGCACUGACGCUCAUGCACGAAAGCGUGGGGAGCAAACAGGAUUAGAGACCCCCGUAGUCCCUGUCUCUUAUAC
rnacentral:rRNA from 1 species